GCUUACGGCCAUACCACCCUGAGUACGCCCAAUCUCGUCUGUUCUCUGAAGCUAAGCAGGGUCGGGCCUGGUUAGUACUUGGAUGGGAGACCGCCUGGGAAUACCAGGUGCUGUAAGCU
ensembl:rRNA 5S_rRNA 5S ribosomal RNA